UCCCGCGGUCGUGCGAUUUGAAGCGUUAUCUGCUCGAAGUCGAUUGAGUCCUGCCAUUUUCGAGCGUUUGUCGUGCGUUUUGAUCGAAUGUCAGAAAGGCGACAUUUAGUGCGUGAAAAAAUCUUGGCAGGCGUUGAUAAAAUAAUAAUGACGUUUUCCUUAGUUUCCAAGUUUUUCUUCCUCCAUUCAGUAAGAAAAUGUGUUAAUUGUACUUUUUCACAAUUAAAAAACUAUUCAGUGUAUAUUAUGUACCAGAUUCAGGAGCAUGACGGGACCAGUAGACGGAUAAAAGAAAGAGAUAAAAAUGCUGGCUCUGCCACAUGAAACCAACAACGGGCACAAAUAACAAACUAAGGACGUGGAACCUGAGAUCCAAGAAACGUAAAUGACACUACUGCAGAAUUUUUUUGGGAUUGUCCAAAACUAAGUGUGAACAUCAUUUUGACAAUUAUUUAACAAAAUUAAUAAAAGUACAUGUUUUCUAACGAAA